GCAAAACCCUAAUUGGCAGAAAGCCAAAAAUCUCCACUAAAAAGAUCCCUCGCUCUGUCUCUCUCUCUCUCUCUCUAUACGGUGCUUUGUGUCGCCUUCAAUUGCGACUUUCUUGCCCCCCCCCUCACACACGCUCUCUCUGUCUCUGUCUCUGUCUCUCUCUUUAUAUAUAUAUAUAAAUUAGGGUUUUGGUUGCUAUUGGUCAGAUGAAUCAAUCCUCUUCCGUUGCCAAUAAGGACUCUGAGGAAGAGUCGCCUACUGUCACUACUUCCUCUUCCUCUUCGGUUCUUGAGGCGGCCAACGGGCCUGAGAAGGCAGAAGCGGCAGGAGGCGGCGGCGGCGAAGAGGAGGUGGCGGAGAAGGCGGAGGAUCCGAUGGAGGAGGACGCGGUCAAUCCCGCGACUGUGUUCUGUAUUAGGCUCAAGCAGCCGAGGUCCAAUUUGAUGCACAAAAUGAGUGUUCCCGAGCUCUGUCGCAAUUUCAGGUGGAAACCAAAUUGGAUAGUGAGAAAGACACAGUGGAACAAGAGAGAGAGAGAGAGAGAUGGCUAUCAAAUUUGUGCUGUUGCUUGGUGUGGCAAGCUAAAUGCUAUCGCAUGUGCAUCAGAAACUUGUGCAAGAAUUCCAAGUUCUAAUGCAAACCCACCAUUUUGGAUCCCUAUUCAUAUUGUGAUCCCAGAACGGCCUACAGAGUGUGCAGUGUUCAAUGUCAUAGCAGAUUCUCCUCGUGAUUCUGUUCAGUUCAUGGAAUGGUCACCUACCUCUUGUCAUCGUGCCUUGCUAAUAGCUAAUUUUCAUGGUCGAAUAACGAUAUGGACGCAACCAUCUCAAGGCUUGCCUAAUCUGGUCAGAGAUGCAAGUUGUUGGCAGCGGGAGCAUGAAUGGAGGCAAGAUAUUGCUGUUGUUACAAAGUGGCUUUCUGGGGUGCCUCCAUAUAGGUGGCUUUCCUCUAGAUCUAGUAGUUCUGCAAACUCCACUUUUGAGGAAAAAUUUCUUUCACAGCAGCCUCAAGCUCCAGCUGGGUGGCCAAAUUUUCUGUGUGUGUGCUCUGUUUUCUCAUCAGGUUCGGUUCAACUUCACUGGUCGCAGUGGCCUCCUAAUCAGAGUGGUGCUGCAUCAAAAUGGUUUUGCACAAGCAAAGGGCUUUUGGGAGCUGGGCCUAGUGGGAUUAUGGCUGCUGAUGCUAUUAUAACAGAUGCUGGUGCCAUGCAUGUGGCAGGUGUUCCAAUUGUGAACCCAUCAACUGUUGUUGUUUGGGAGGUCACACCUGGCCCCGGAAAUGGAUUUCAAGCGACUCCAAAAGCAAGUACAAGCACUGGUGUCCCUCCCUCACUUAACCCUCCUUCUUGGGAUGGUUUUGCCCCUUUGGCUGCUUAUUUAUUUAGCUGGCAAGAAUAUUUCCUAUUGGAAGCAAAGCAAGGGAAAAAGCAUUCAGAUCAAGAUUAUAGUGAUAUGGUAUCACUUCAUUGUUCCCCAGUCUCAAAUUUUUCUGCAUAUGUGAGUCCUGAGGCUGCAGCUCAAACAGCAGCAACCACUACAUGGGGCUCUGGAGUUACUGCAGUCGCCUUUGACCCGACCCGUGGUGGUUCCGUAAUAGCUGUAGUGAUUGUUGAGGGGCAAUACAUGUCCCCUUAUGAUCCAGAUGAGGGUCCUUCAAUUACAGGUUGGAGAGUUCAACGCUGGGAAUCAUCUCUUAAGCCUGUUGUCCUUCACCAGAUUUUUGGAAACCCAACCUCCAGUUUUGGUGGUCAGGCUCCCAUGCAGACAGUGUGGGUAACCACAGUAAACAAAUGCAUUCCACCAACCAGUGAUUUCAAAAUUCAUCAAGCAGCUGAUGUAAGAAACACAUCUGAUACUGGCAUUGAGAAGACGAAAAGGGUCUGUUUUGAUCCAUUUGAUCUUCCAAGUGAUGUUAGAACUCUUGCUCGAAUUGUGUACUCUGCUCAUGGGGGGGAGAUUGCUGUUGCUUUUCUACGAGGCGGCGUUCACAUUUUUUCUGGUGCAAGCUUUGCACCUGUUGAUAACUACCAGAUCAAUGUUGGUUCCACAAUUGCUGCUCCUGCCUUUUCAUCUACAAGCUGCUGUUCAGCAUCAGUGUGGCAUGAUACCAGCAAGGAUUGUACUAUGUUGAAGAUAAUUCGUGUUCUUCCUCCUGCUGUACCAAGUAGUCAAGUGAAAGCAAACUCAUCAACCUGGGAGCGUGCUAUUGCGGAAAGGUUUUGGUGGAGCCUGUUGGUAGGAGUUGAUUGGUGGGAUGCUGUUGGCUGUACACAGAGUGCAGCAGAGGAUGGCAUCGUCUCAUUGAACAGUGUUAUUGCAGUGCUGGAUGCAGACUUCCACUCUCUUCCUUCGACUCAGCAUAGACAACAGUAUGGCCCUAGUCUAGACAGAAUAAAAUGCAGGCUACUGGAAGGUACAAAUGCUCAAGAAGUGAGGGCAAUGGUUUUAGAUAUGCAAGCAAGGCUGUUGCUGGAUAUGCUAGGGAAAGGAAUUGAAUCAGCCCUGAUUAACCCUUCAGCUUUGGUUUCUGAGCCCUGGCAAGAAUCUGGUGAGAAGUUAUCUAGUAUUGACCCUGAAUCAAUGGCUGUUGAACCAGCAUUAGUUUUAAGCAUUCAGGCCUAUGUUGAUGCAGUCCUUGACCUUGCAUCACAUUUCAUUACACGGUUGCGACGUUACGCUAGUUUCUGCCGUACCUUGGCAACUCAUGCAGUUACAGCAGGCACUGGGGGAAAUCGGAGUAUGGUGGCUAGUCCUACCCAAACUUCUAAUCCUCCUGCUACAAGCCAGGGUGGCCAAGGUGGUACUGCUACUUCUACUGGAAGCACUCAGAUGCAAGCUUGGGUGCAAGGAGCUAUUGCUAAAAUUAGUAGCACCGCAGAUGGAGUUCCAAGUUCCACUCCAAAUCCCACAAGUGGUCCUUCAUCCUUUAUGCCAAUAAGUAUCAACACGGGAACUUUUCCUGGAACUCCAGCAGUUAGGCUCAUUGGGGACUGCCAUUUCCUUCAUAGGUUGUGCCAACUUUUGCUGUUCUGUUUUUUCUUUCGACGAACACAACUGCCUCGCUUUAUAGGUGCUGCUCAGAGAAACACCGAUGCCAAUAUGCAAAAGCCUCAGCCUGGUGCGACAGCGAAGGUUGAAGAGGUGAACUCCCUACCUGCAAAACCAUCAGCAGAAAUGCAGGCAGCUCGGGCUGGACAAGUCAUUCCUGGAGCAAAGGGAUCUGAAGAAGGUCCAGCUAACCGGUCAAGAUUAGGCUCUGGAAAUGCUGGACAAGGUUACACAUUUGAAGAGGUUAAGGUCCUCUUCCUCAUACUCAUGGAUCUUUGCCGGCGAACAUCUGGUCUGGCACACCCCUUACCAGUUUCUCAAGUGGGAAGCAGCAACAUACAGGUGCGCCUGCAUUAUAUUGACGGGAACUACACCGUCUUGCCGGAAGUUGUAGAAGCAUCCCUUGGUCCACAUAUGCAGAAUAUGCCUCGGCCUCGAGGUGCAGAUGCUGCUGGCCUGUUACUCCGAGAGUUAGAACUCCAUCCUCCUGCUGAAGAAUGGCACAGGAGAAAUAUGUAUGGUGGCCCCUGGUCUGAUCCAGAGGAUAUGGGUCCUGCUGAUGAUCCUUCCAAACUCAGCAUUUCAGCUGACCCACUGAAGCUGAAUUCACUGGAAGGUAUUUACAAUGGGGCUAAUGUCUUGUGGCCAAGAAAGCGCAGAAUGUCAGAAAGAGAUGCAGCUUUUGGCUUAAACACUUCUGUGGGCCUGGGUGCUUAUCUGGGUAUAAUGGGAUCUCGAAGAGAUGUUGUAACUGCUGUGUGGAAGACUGGUCUUGAAGGAGUAUGGUACAAGUGUAUAAGAUGCUUGCGGCAGACAUCAGCUUUUGCCUCUCCAGGUUCCAGCAAUUCACCUAAUCAGAAUGAGAGAGAAAUGUGGUGGAUCAGCCGCUGGGCUUAUGGAUGUCCAAUGUGCGGUGGGACUUGGGUUCGAGUUGUAUAGUCUUUAAAGUACCAUUUCUUUUAUCAGGCAGGUUUAUCUUUCUGCAAAUCUCAUCUCUGAGACAUUUCUGUUUUCGAGCUAAUUGAAAUAGCAAAUCGAAGGGAUAUUUCAAUCCGUUCAGGUUGUAUAUCCUUUUGACUGUAAACUUCAAAGAAAAGCCGAUUACGUGGUCGCUGUGAUCGAUCUCUGGCCAGGCUGGCUGGCUGGCUAGUUCAAAUUCGAAGGAGAGCCAAGGCCUUGUUGUUAUUCCAUUUGCUGCGCCUUUUUAUUAUUUGGGAUCAAACACGGGUUUUGAGCUAAAGCUUAACUAAACUUAGAAGAUGAGAGCAUUUGGAAAUGUAAAUACUUGAGCGGUGCAAGAUGAAUGUGUAGAUAUAGCAUUUGGAUGUAGAAACCUUGAAUAAUGUUAUUUAGAAUUUUGUCAUUUGAAGUGUUUAUAUUUUAAGUUUUUUCAUAUUAAA